GGCGGACGGAUGAGUAACGCGUAAGGAACUUGCCUCUUGGUCUGGGACAACUGUUGGAAACGACAGCUAAUACCGGAUAUUAUGAGAUUCUCGCAUGGGAAACUUAUGAAAGCUAUAUGCGCCAAGAGAGAGCCUUGCGUUCCAUUAGCUAGUUGGUGGGGUAACGGCCCACCAAGGCGACGAUGGAUAGCCGGCCUGAGAGGGUGAACGGCCACAAGGGGACUGAGACACGGCCCUUACUCCUACGGGAGGCAGCAGUGGGGAAUAUUGGACAAUGGGCCACAAGCCUGAUCCAGCAAUUCUGUGUGCACGAUGAAGGUCUUCGGAUUGUAAAGUGCUUUCAGUUGGGAAGAAGAAAGUGACGGUACCAACAGAAGAAGCGACGGCUAAAUACGUGCCAGCAGCCGCGGUAAUACGUAUGUCGCAAGCGUUAUCCGGAUUUAUUGGGCGUAAAGCGCGUCUAGGCGGAAAAAUAAGUCUGAUGUUAAAAUGCGGGGCUCAACUCCGUAUUGCGUUGGAAACUGUUUUUCUAGAGUACUGGAGAGGUGGGCGGAACUACAAGUGUAGAGGUGAAAUUCGUAGAUAUUUGUAGGAAUGCCGAUGGAGAAGUCAGCUCACUGGACAGAUACUGACGCUAAAGCGCGAA
rnacentral:rRNA from 1 species